rnacentral:rRNA from 1 species
CUAGUUGCCAUCAUCUAGUUGGGCGACUCUAGUGAGACUGCCGGUGACAAACCGGAGGAAGGUGGGGAUGACGUCAAGUCCUCAUGGCCCUUAUGGUAGGGCUUCACACGUCAUACAAUGGUCGGUACAGAGGGUUGCCAAGCCGGCGAGGUGGAGCCAAUCCCUUAAAAGCCGAUCGUAGUCCGGAUCGUAGUCUGCAACUCGACUACGUGAAGUCGGAAUCGCUAGUAAUCGCAGAUCAGCAUGCUGCGGUGAAUACGUUCCCGGGUCUU